rnacentral:rRNA from 1 species
UUUUUAGCGGCGGACGGGUGAGUAACGUGUGGGUAACCUGCCUUUUACUGGGGAAUAAUCACUGGAAACGGUGACUAAUACCGCAUACGGUUCUUGGAAGGCAUCUUCUAGGAAAGAAAGGAUUUAUUCGGUAAAAGAUGGGCCCGCAUCUGAUCAGCUAGUUGGUGAGAUAACAGCCCACCAAGGCGACGAUCAGUAGCCGACCUGAGAGGGUGACCGGCCACAUUGGGACUGAGACACGGCCCAAACUCCUACGGAAGGCAGCAG